GUGAAGUGGGGGCCAGUGGCGGGGGGCAGACGGAGGGGGGAAGCGUUGGCCGGAAUUAUGGGGCGUAAAGCGCGAGCAGGCGGGCCUGUAAGUCGGAUGUGAAAGCCCACGGCUCAACCGUGGAGGGUCAUUGGAAACUGGGGGACUUGAGUGCAGAAGAGGAAAGCGGAAUGCCACGUGUAGCGGUGAAAUGCGUAGAGAUGUGGAGGAACACCAGUGGCGAAGGCGGCUUUCUGGUCUGUAACUGACGCUGAGGCGCGAAAGCGUGGGGAGCAAACAGGAUUAGAUACCCCAGUAGUC
rnacentral:rRNA from 1 species